CCGGUAUUUUACAAAGACAGUUUGGUAAAAGUGUCUAUAGUGGGGGAGACAUCUAUAAAAAUUGGGGUGGCAUGUUUAUUUCUCUUCCUCCCCUACGAGUUUAUCAAAAUUUUCCCACCUCUUGUCUUUCUACUUCAUGUUUACAAAUUUCCAUAUACUCUCAGUCUCUAUCUAAGCUUUCAAACCCAUGACGGUGCAUGUAAUGUGAGUGAAUAUAUUGCAAGCAUACACUUGUCUGUUGAUGCCAGAAGAAAAACAUGGUAUCUUCAUAUAUUACUUUCAUUGCCAGAACAAGGUGUAUCAUUAGUGUCGUCCACAGGGAAAAUGACAAAUCAAGUACCACACAAUGUUCGGUUGUUGAAAAAGUGA